ACCCAAGACAGCAAGACUUCUCAAAGCCAAAAAAAAAAAAAAGGCUCCUUGCCUUGAAAUAAGAAAAGCUCUUCUUCCCAGAAUCCAAUCUAGUCAGACUUCUGAACUAGAUGACAUACUCCUCCUUAGGAAGAUAAGCAAACUACUAUAUGAAAGACAAAAGAGGGAGAUAAAUGACUUCUUUGCAACAAACUAAACAUAUAGGUACUAUAGCAAUGAAGAUUUACAAAGUGCUAAUGUGAUGGGCAUUAUUACUGCACUGGGAAAAAAGAAAGCCUGGUGAUUUAGUGGUAGUCUUAGCUUAGUUACCCGACCAAGCUUUUGUUAUUUUGGCAUUCAAUCUCUACUGCACCAAGGUUCCCUGCAAAAACCAGAUUCGAAAAUUAAAACAAUUCACUUAAUGAAGUGCAAGAGAACAAUGUUCAGAAUCCUUGUGUAUAUUUUUUUGAUGCUCUUAACAUUAAGUGGCCAGCUCUCUUAGCCCAAGAUUGAUGUGUUUCCCAAGAUAGGAAUUUCAACGCUAAAACCGGAAAGUCCAGGCAAACUGGGACAGUUCGUUACCCAAUCUCCACAUUACCACUUGUUGAGGGUAAUCCAACCUUUGAUUAUCUGUGCUUUUAAAAAGAGAUAUGAACUAAUAAUGGAAAUGCAAAUACUUUGGCUGAGAUAGCACCCUAUGAAAAUCUUUUAAUACAUCAGAGUGGCUGACAAAGAGUAAAAGUGAGACAUAGGUUUAUCAACUUCAUCUCUAUUUAACCAUCCAAAACUUAUGGAAAUAGUAAUGGGUAAGGAAAAGGCCCACAGGAAAAAGGUAAAAAAAGGUAAGGGAAAAAUGUCUGUUUUCAUAAGAUGAUUAAAUAUUUAUUCUAAUACAGAAAAAAAAGGUUACUUAAAUGUUAGUUUAAAGAAUGUGCUCCUUUUCAAGUUAACUUCUUUUACUUUUGGUAUCAGGAAGACUGAAUGAAAGUGGCAGACUUCAGGGAGAAGAAGAUUCCGAACCUUAAAACUAAUUUUUUGAAAAUAGUUAUUUUUUUUCAUUAUUUUUAAAAUUAAUUACACCUUGAAAUUAAUUUGAUAAUGGUGGAAAAGAGACUUUUUUUUUAAACCCUUUCCCAUUAUUCUGGUAAUAUUUUUCUUUUCUCUUUCUAAAACAUCUUGAAAUUGAAGCUAGGUAUGUUUAGGUAGCCCUUCAAAGUUUUCUCAAUCUGCACAUUGUGGGGGAAAAGUAAUAGUAAUUAUUGGUUAGAAAUAUGGUAAAUGUACAUUUACCUAAAUAUGAACGAACCCUAGAAGUUAUUUUUUGCUUCAUGAUAUUUAAAGAACACAGACUUCUCUAAAAACAUUCUUCUUUUUUAACCAUCAUUUUAUGCCAUGCAUUAAUUUGGUUUUCUUAGAAAAAUACUAUACUUCAAAUGGAGAAAGUUGUAAAAUUCUUUACAAAGCAGUUGAAGAAAUACACCUCUUAUUUAGUAAAACUAGUUUCAAGAACAAACUUGGAGAACCAUAAAUAUUGCAAAACAGCAAUGAUGAGCAAAAUGUUUACAAUCUGAAAUAAUUUCUGUUUAAAAUUAAACACAUUAGGGGCACCUGGGUGGUUCAGUCAGUUAAGCAUCUGACUUUGGCUCAGUCCAUGAGUUAGAGCCCUGCAAUUGGGCCCAGUGCUGAUGCC